AAGUUAAUUCAACAAUUUAACAUUAAAAAAGUUGAGAUAACACAGAAAUGUAAGUUGAAUAGAAAUUUAGAUCAAUUUGUUACACCAAAUUAAUAUUUCAAGUUAGAACAACUAACAACUUUAAGUUGGUUAUUAGUAUUGCCAACAAAGGCUGAUGAGCAUGCGCAGUUCCAAUGCUUUUUUAAACAACGCCAUUUUAUUUUCUCCUGUUUCAUUUUCGAGUCACCUUAAGCGGCCUCUGUUUAUUCCCUCAUUGUGAUCGCUCUGGUAAGUGUAGCUAUGUGUAUCAAUUCACGAUAUGAUUUAAAUGAAGUUUAUUCACAAUAUGCGCUUUUGUACAACAUAGGUGGCAGCAAGUUAGUCAGUUAAAUUUUCCCACCUGGUCUUAUUGUUGCCUCAGGUCAGACGUCGCCUAUUUUUUCUGCCUGACAGUUUAAAUUAAUCUCUCCGGUAGGUGCUGUUCUUUAUAUAAUAUUUACCAUAAGAGUUGAAAUGUGUUUGUUCAAAAUAUGUGCUUUUGUAUGCCGUUUUAGGCCGGAUGACAGACUGGCUGCGUGGCGUCUCUGCUGCGUGCCAGAAGCGUGGUGGCUGCUUUGCGUUUUCUGUGUCUUUAGAGUUGCUUCAGGCGGCGCCCUGUUAACGUUGGCCCGUCAUUGUUAUCGCUCCGGUAAGCGGUGGUUCUUUUGUGUAUCAAUUUAAGCCAUGAUUUAAAUGAAAUUUGUUCACAAUAUGCUCAUCUUUACAACGGUGUAGGUGGCGGCAAGUUAGUCAUUUCAGUUUUCAUGCUUUGUCUUCGAGUUGCCUGAGAAGGGUCAGACGUACGCAAGUUUUCUUUUCCUCGACAGUGCAAUCGCUCUGGCAGCUGCUUAGGUGGCUCCAAACCGAUCAGUUCAGGUUUUCUGUUUCGUCUUCGAGUUGCAUGAGAAGUGUCAGAUGAGCACAAGGUUUUUUUUUUUUUUUCUCGACAGUACAAUCGCUCUGGCAGGUAAUGUUCUAUGUAGGCUAUGAGAAUAAUUAACAGUAAGGUCAGAAUGUAUUUGUUUACAAUAUGUGCUUCUGUACAGCUGCUUAGGUGGCUCCAAACUGGUCAGUUCAACCUCUCCUGCUUCGUCUUCGAGAAGUCUUUUAGUCAUUCGGUGGCUUUUUUUUCCAGACAGUAUCAUGACUUAGGUUGAUGCAGUGCAAGAUAUGCAGAUUUGAACACCCUGCCCAGGAGGUCCUUUUGAAACAUGAUUAAUUGUGCCACUACCAGGGAAGAUACUGACACCUACCCUGCCUCUACAAAGAUUGCAUCUGCUCCUUUAAAACCACUGGUUGACGUCUCACCUUUUAAGAUCACACAAGUGCUUAUCUUCACGUGAGAGUCAAUUAACAUUGAAUGGUGAAUUGUGUGACUUUAAGGAAAUUUGUAAAAUGCCCUAUUACUCCAAACAUAUAAGGAGCCAUUUUUAAAAAAUCAUGAAACUUUAAGGUGCCCUUUUAGCCAGUGUGGUUUUUGAAACACAUCUGAUUUCAUCAUCCAGUGGUCAAAAUCAUUGCAGCUUUUCCAAUACAGACUUUAAAGCAAAUAUCAUUAUUCGAAAUGCAGAACCAAAAGACAGCGAGCCACAAACUGUUGUUAUGCACACACUUUUAUCACCAUUGCAGUUAAUUUUAUAUUGCUUGUGAUAGAUAUGAAGGACAGAUAUGGAAGCCAAUACAUGUUUGACUGGACACGUUGUUAUUUUUGCACAUUAUUUUGGACUUGAAUUUUGUGAUAGUUAAUUUAAUUGGGAAAGCAUCAAAUAAAAACUGAGUAGAAGUUUUUAAUUUUGCAACACAAAUGUGACAAAUAAGCUCUUAACUUAGUUAAGUUACUUGAGUAAAACCUAAAGUUCUGAAGCUGCAAUAUAAAAACCAAAAAAAAAAAAGUUGAGAGCUCAAAAACCUUUUUGAAGUUUUUUCAACUUUUUUUUUUUUAAAGCAACUUCAAAUAUCAGGUUUUGUAAACAACUAAUUGACCUUUAAGUUGAGUAAACUCAAAAAUCUGUUGAAGCUGGUAGCCUC